rnacentral:rRNA from 1 species
UACGUAGGCAGCGAGCGUUGUUCGGAGUUACUGGGCGUAAAGGGUGUGUAGGCGGUUCUCUAAGUUUGGUGUGAAAUCUCCCGGCUCAACCGGGAGGGUGCGCCGAAAACUGGAGGGCUAGAGUGCGGGAAGGGAGAGUAGAAUUCCUGGUGUAGCGGUGAAAUGCGUAGAUAUCAGGAGGAAUACCGGUGGCGAAGGCGGCAUCCUGGACCGGGAUUGACGCUGAGGCGCGAAAGCCAGGGGAGCAAACGGG